rnacentral:sRNA from 1 species
UAUUAGCCCUGAUUGUAGAGAAAAUCCUUUUUUGAAAAAAAAGAUUGUAAUGAAAAGCAGGAAUAGCU